UAGGGAAUCUUCGGCAAUGGACGAAAGUCUGACCGAGCAACGCCGCGUGAGUGAAGAAGGUUUUCGGAUCGUAAAACUCUGUUGUUAGAGAAGAACAAGGACGUUAGUAACUGAACGUCCCCUGACGGUAUCUAACCAGAAAGCCACGGCUAACUACGUGCCAGCAGCCGCGGUAAUACGUAGGUGGCAAGCGUUGUCCGGAUUUAUUGGGCGUAAAGCGAGGGCAGGCGGUUUCUUAAGUCUGAUGUGAAAGCCCCCGGCUCAACCGGGGAGGGUCAUUGGAAACUGGGAGACUUGAGUGCAGAAGAGGAGAGUGGAAUUCCAUGUGUAGCGGUGAAAUGCGUAGAUAUAUGGAGGAACACCAGUGGCGAAGGCGGCUCUCUGGUCUGUAACUGACGCUGAGGCUCGAAAGCGUGGGAAGCAAACAGG
rnacentral:rRNA from 1 species